GAGGAAGCCAGCCCAAUUGAAACAGUCCUGCAAGACAGCUCCAUUGGGGGUGAGGACUUGCAGAAGGGAGAGAUACAGCUCCACACAGAAACACAAG